CCCCAGCGCCACAAGUGGCAGUCUCGUUUAUUGGGCCUAAAGCGUCCGUAGCUGAUCAAGUAAAUCUCUUGUGAAAUUGUUGGGCUUAACCUAACAGCGGGCAGGAGAGACUGCUUGACUAGGGACCGGGAGGAGUCAGAGGUAUGCUAGGGGGAGCGGUAAAAUGUUAUAAUCCCUAGUAGACCACCUGUGGCGAAGGCGUCUGACUAGAACGGGUCCGACAGUGAGGGACGAAAGCCAGGGGA
rnacentral:rRNA from 1 species